GACGAACGCUGGCGGCGUGCUUAACACAUGCAAGUCGAACGGAAAGGCCCUGCUUUUGUGGGGUGCUCGAGUGGCGAACGGGUGAGUAACACGUGAGUAACCUGCCCUUGACUUUGGGAUAACUUCAGGAAACUGGGGCUAAUACCGGAUAGGAGCUCCUGCUGCAUGGUGGGGGUUGGAAAGUUUCGGCGGUUGGGGAUGGACUCGCGGCUUAUCAGCUUGUUGGUGGGGUAGUGGCUUACCAAGGCUUUGACGGGUAGCCGGCCUGAGAGGGUGACCGGCCACAUUGGGACUGAGAUACGGCCCAGACUCCUACGGGAGGCAGCAGUGGGGAAUAUUGCACAAUGGGCGGAAGCCUGAUGCAGCAACGCCGCGUACGGGAUGACGGCCUUCGGGUUGUAAACCGCUUUCGCCUGUGACGAAGCGUGAGUGACGGUAAUGGGUAAAGAAGCACCGGCUAACUACGU
rnacentral:rRNA from 1 species